rnacentral:rRNA from 1 species
UACAGAGGGUGCGAGCGUUGUCCGGAAUCACUGGGCGUAAAGCGUGCGUAGGUGGUUUGUUAAGUCUGUUGUGAAAGCCCCGGGCUCAACCUGGGAAUGGCAAUGGAUACUGGCAGGCUAGAGUGCGGUAGAGGGUAGUGGAAUUCCCGGUGUAGCGGUGAAAUGCGUAGAGAUCGGGAGGAACACCAGUGGCGAAGGCGGCUACCUGGACCAGCACUGACACUGAGGCACGAAAGCGUGGGGAGCAAACAGGG